GAUGACACAUGCUAAGUAAAAAAGCUGGACGGAACAAAACUACAAGCCUAGAACCAAAGGGAUACAAUCCUGGAACCAAAAGCCAGCUCACAUCUCAAGAGAAAAACAACAAACAAACAAGAAACAUGCUGAAGACACAAAUACAUACAACAAUUUCAAACCAGGAUUUAUAAGAAAGCAAUGAAAUCUUCAUUGCGCCUUGAACCUUGUUUGGCCAACAAAUCUGCAA
rnacentral:misc_RNA from 1 species